GACGAACGCUGGCGGCGUGCUUAACACAUGCAAGUCGAACGGAAAGGCCCUGCUUUUGUGGGGUGCUCGAGUGGCGAACGGGUGAGUAACACGUGAGUAACCUGCCCUUGACUUUGGGAUAACUUCAGGAAACUGGGGCUAAUACCGGAUAGGAGCUCCUGCUGCAUGGUGGGGGUUGGAAAGUUUCGGCGGUUGGGGAUGGACUCGCGGCUUAUCAGCUUGUUGGUGGGGUAGUGGCUUACCAAGGCUUUGACGGGUAGCCGGCCUGAGAGGGUGACCGGCCACAUUGGGACUGAGAUACGGCCCAGACUCCUACGGGAGGCAGCAGUGGGGAAGAGUGCACAAUGGGCGGAAGCCUGAUGCAGCAACGCCGCGUGCGGGAUGACGGCCUUCGGGUUGUAAACCGAUUUCGCCUGUGACGAAGCGUGAGUGACGGUAAUGGGUAAAGAAGCACCGGCUAACUACGUG
rnacentral:rRNA from 1 species